AAACCAACAGGGAUUGCCCCAGUAACGGCGAGUGAAGCGGCAACAGCUCAAAUUUGAAAUCUGGCCCCUCCGGGUCCGAGUUGUAAUUUGUAGAGGAUGCUUUUGGUGAGGUGCCGCCCGAGUUCCCUGGAACGGGACGCCACAGAGGGUGAGAGCCCCGUCUGGCUGGCCACCGAGCCUCUGUAAAGCUCCUUCGACGAGUCGAGUAGUUUGGGAAUGCUGCUCAAAAUGGGAGGUAUAUGUCUUCUAAAGCUAAGACCGAUAGCGCACAAGUAGAGUGAUCGAAAGAUGAAAAGCACCUUGAAAAGAGGGUUAAACAGUACGUGAAAUUGUUGAAAGGGAAGCGCUUGUGACCAGACUUGGGCGCGGCGGAUCAUCCGGGGUUCUCUCCGGUGCACUUCGCCGCGUUCAGGCCAGCAUCAGUUCGUCGCGGGGGAAAAAGGCUUCGGGAACGUGGCUCCUCCGGGAGUGUUAUAGCCCGUUGCAUAAUACCCUGCGGUGGACUGAGGACCGCGCAUCUGCAAGGAUGCUGGCGUAAUGGUCACCAGCGAC
rnacentral:rRNA from 1 species